GCAGCAGCCACGGGAAUACGUAGGGUGCGAGCGUUAAUCGGAAUUACUGGGCGUAAAGCGUGCGCAGGCGGUUAUAUAAGACAGAUGUGAAAUCCCCGGGCUCAACCUGGGACCUGCAUUUGUGACUGUAUAGCUAGAGCACGGUAGAGGGGGAUGGAAUUCCGCGUGUAGCAGUGAAAUGCGUAGAUAUGCGGAGGAACACCGAUGGCGAAGGCAAUCCCCUGGACCUGUACUGACGCUCAUGCACGAAAGCGUGGGGAGCAAACAGGAUUAGAUACCCCCGUAGUCCCUGUCUCUUAUAC
rnacentral:rRNA from 1 species